CAGGUUUUUAUGAUGGCUGAGUCAGGGGUGAAAAAAUUCAGCCUAAACAUCAAGAAGACUGGAAAAGGUGUGCUCCCUAAAAAUGAAAAAGGUCCAUAUUACUAAUGCUAAAAUAUGGAAUGCAUAGGAUCUAAGUAUCAAGGAACUGGCUGAAUAGAUCAGCUUGAGAAGGGAAUGGUACGCAUAAAAGAAGAUCUAUCUUUGAAGCAUAUUUUAGAUGAGAUAGAGACGGGUGGUCCUACUGCUAUGAUGAGGUUUGGAUGGCAAAAUUUCUUAUCUUUUUGGCCAUUUCAAAAUUUCUAUCAGUUCAAUGUUUUCCAAAUUUUAAAUAGUUUCUAAAGUGUUUCAGGUUGUUUGUGCAAUUUGUAACACUGAGCAGCCGAUAAGUAUUUUCUUCCAACUUAUUUCUUGGAGAUGGACUAGGCUGAAUUUGAUGCAUAAUUCCAGCUAGGAAUUGUUAAUAUUUUUACUUCCUCAAUGAUGCUGAAUGUUUUUUUAAUCAAUUUGCAGAUAGGAAAACAACAGAUUCAUUGUGAUGAGUGUGAAAUCUGUAGGGUUGGUGGUCAAGAGAACUAUUUCCACUGUGAAAAGUGUGGGUCAUGCUAUUUAGUUACACUACGUGACAAUCAUUUGUGUGGAGAACUCCAUGGGCAUGUGCAUUACUGAAGCUGCUGUUAUUGCAAUUAUGUAGUUAUAUGAUAUUAAAACAUUGAAGUUAUUUUAUUUUAUUUUUUUUAAUGAAAAGCAAGUAAUAGUUAUGAAGAACAAUAUCAUAUGUAAUUAUGUUUGGAAUUAUUGACAUUGAGAACUUUUAUA